rnacentral:rRNA from 1 species
UACGUAGGGGGCAAGCGUUGUCCGGAUUCAUUGGGCGUAAAGAGCGUGUAGGCGGCCAGGUAGGUCGGUUGUGAAAACUGGAGGCUCAACCUUCAGAGGUCGACCGAAACCAUCUGGCUAGAGUCCGGGAGAGGAGAGUGGAAUUCCUGGUGUAGCGGUGAAAUGCGCAGAUAUCGUAAGGAAGGCCGGUGGCGAAAGCGAGCCUCUGGACAGUUACUGACGCUGAUGCACGAAGGCCAGGGAGCAAAGCGGG